GUAUUCAUGUAUUUUUUAGAGGACUGAUGCGAACUGGUUCAGUGGUUUUACUGCAUAGCAGUACCUUUGUCUUAACCAGAAAUUCCAGCUAAUGCUUGCUAAUAACAGUGCUUUUUCCUACAAAGUCUUUCUAUGAAAGAUGAUUGGGGUAGUUUCUGGCUGUAAACUGAAGGUUUUCUAACAUACUGACUUACCCUGCCAUUCACGUUUGCAUUGCUUACACUUAUACAAAACUUCUGAGAUCACAUGAUGGAGAUUUGGACUGACUUCAAAAUGGCAAGAGAAAUGGCUAUUUGGGGGUGUAUAUACACAUCUCAGUGAAUUUGAAGGUAAGAGCUAGUACUUCACUGUUUCAGAAGAAUUCACUGAAUGCUUUCCAAGCUGUAAUAGGUAAGACAAAGGACAGCAAAUUGAUAAUUUGCUCGAGAUAUUAUCUACAGCAUUAGAGACAUUCUAAAUAUAAUUGUCCUGAUCUCUCAGCUUUCAAAUUAACUUCUUCCUAAUUGCUACUGUGCUCCUUGCAUUUAAAGCCUAACAGUGCAUCAAGCUCCUAGGAUUACUUAUUAUAACAGAUAAUCCUACAAAAGCGUAUACAUCACAGUUUCAGAUGCGGAACGUACAAAUAAGCAAGUUCUAGUUCUGUGCGCACUGUUUAACAUAGCGAUCAUUUUACGUAGGAGCAAGUACAAUUAGAACUUGAAAAUACCAGCUGCUAUAGUUCCAUUUUUGUUAAAUGGCAAAGAAACUGGCAGUAGCUCCUGAUAACUUUCUUUCUUGCAGCACUUGUACCUUUUACAAGGUUAAAAUUUCUUAGCAACACUUGAAGUUUUCUCUUGGGAUCAAUGAAAUAUUCACCUGCAUUUGGCGCUGCUGCUGUUAUUUAUCACUGUCUAUUGUCAAGGCAACAGAAUAUCUACUGCAUCUGUACCAGCUGAUCUGCCUCACUAUGUGAUUUCAGCUUUUUCCCCACUCUCUAACCGGCUCUUUACCUUGAGAACAUCUUUAUAAUAGCAAGGAGACUGAAAAAUGAAUGUGCCAGGGUAUCCUGGAGCUGUAGCAGAGGACUGGAGGACUGAGCUCCCUAAAGUUUGCCAAUUACUUCCUUCAGGGAGCCUGAAGGCAGAGGAAGAUGAGGAAAAUAUGCACAUCACUGUUGAUUUUACCCCUACACCAGAGGAUUCUCCUAAACACACGAGACUGUAACAGGGUCUCAAAGGAUAUGGCAAUCUGCUCGAUGGCUGCCGACUACUGCAAGAGCUUGGAUGGAAAAGAACUAUGGGAUGUGCAGAGAGGAAAACUACUUGACCUCCCAAAUAUUACAAGCCUUGUAAUUCUGCACAGAAACGUUCCUUUGUGUGGUCAAAUACUGUAGCUACUUUUAGACUGUUCCAUUUUCAAGGCUAUAUUAUUUUGUGGUGACUGAGUCUGACCAGCUUCGUGGCACUCCUGCAGGAAGAGAACUCGGAGUGUUCAUUUUAGCCUGCAACGUGCAUCCUGGCAGAAAGGUUCCACUUCCACCAAACCAAGUGAGCACUUCACAAGUAAAAUGUACUUCUUGCUGCUUAGAACAGAAGAAACAUCUAAAUUCACAUUUAUACAGAAAAUGUAUGUAGGUAAGUAAGGCAGGCUUCAUCAUAAACCUGAAUUCUGUUCAUUUCAGAUGGUCUAGUAGCUCUGUGAAUCAGUAACAUUCAUUGAAUUACUUUUAUAGAGAAGUCCUUCAGAUAUUGCAAUCUGAAGUCUUAAAUGUAUCAUGGACCACUUUACUAAAAAUUUCUGUAGACGUAGAAAAGCAAUAUCUAACUAUAAGUUCCCAGUCUUGUAGAACGGGAUAAUCAUGGCAUGAGGAAAAAGUCGUAUGAUGUUAUCUAGAGGUAAAAUUACAAUUGAGAGAACAUACUUGUUGUUUCAUAAAGUGUCCCUAUUAUAUAAUUCUAAGUUGAUAGAAACAAGUUACUUUUUUUCAUUAUUAUGCUGCAAUAUGCAAAAUAUAUUCCAACUCUUAGUACAUUUGCAAAGGUUAAGUAAUCAAACUAGUCAAACAUCUGUAAAAGUAAAAGCUAGGAGAGCAUUCUGAUCCCUGCUACAACACUGAACAUCUACAUUUUGUCAGCUCUUGGGAGAGAAGGGAAGCUCAUUGCAGAUAAGAAAGGCUUUUUUUUUUUAUAUAAAGAGGAAAGUCUGCUCAGGCAAUUUUUGCUUGGAAGUCAAAGUGGCAGUUGUUACCACUAUAUAUUUACAUUCAUCGCUUACCCGUGAAUUUAGUAAGUGCAAAACUGACAGCUCCGUAUUUUUAUUUUCAGGCACAGGAGACUGACAUCAGGUACUUUCUUCUAAAAGAUUCUUUCUCACCUUAUGUCACAGAACAUUAGUAGAAUAUAUUGGAGAUACCAUGCUGACACUGGGCUAUACAGUGCAAAAUUGUAUAUCAAAAGCUUGUCCAAUACAGACUAAGUACUGAACUUAGAUGUGUAUCAGAUAAAAAACAAUGCUCAUGAAAGAAAUCAAGCCAACAAGGCUACAGUGGAAAGAUUCCUGUUGACAAGUAAAAAAAAUCACAAGUAGCAACAGUUGAAAUUUUACAGCUAGAGUGCAAGAAAUAACUUUAAAUUCAAUCACAUUACUUGCUAUCAUGGGAAUUUUCAGAGCUAACUGGAAAAUCUUGCACAUCUCAUGUUUAUCAUACUCCAGUACAGUAAGUAUACAAAGCUGUAAACAUGACAAAUAUCUUGUCUUUAACAGUUUAUAUUUACACACAUUUGUCCCAGUAGUGCAAAACAGUUCUCUUCUAUCUGGAUCUCAAGAAAAGCAUCAAUAGAUACAUAAACAAAAAAACAGAAAUGCUGCCUAAAUACUAGGGAUAUUUCAAUGCCUCCUCAACAAACUGCUUCAAAUCUGUCCUCGUUGUGUUAGAAAAUCAACUACUCGGAAAGAAACAUUAUUUUAUGUUUAAAAAUUUGGGCUGUGCCAUUCAUAACAAAUGACACUCAAUUAAAGAAUCAAACCAACUGACCAAUAAUGUGUAGACAGAAACAAAAAGGUUGUUAAGAGGAAAAUCUAGCCUUUAGUGGUAUUUUGUAGAAAAAAAUCCUAAGCAAGGUAGACAAUUUCUCAACUGAAAUGUGCACCCUAUAGUACAAAGUGUUUAAAUACACACAUGUUCAAAGGAUAUGUCAUUGCCUUCUCUUUCAUGGGAAGGAAAUCCAGGUGUGCAAACCAGAAAAGAGAUAAAAUUUUGUCAUACUCCUGAAGAAAGAGCUCCACAGAAUUUGUCACUCCACAGUCUACGUGCAGGCAACAAACCCAAAGCUAGGGAAGGUAAAUAAUCUCAGUGUAACAUUAAGAAUCCUUCAGGGAGAUGGGAUAUUACACAGAAUAGUUGUAACUUCCACCAUUAUGGCUUAAUUACAUCAUGGACUGUAAGUGAGUUAAAUCAUUCAUUUCAUCAGAUUAAUUAUCAUUAAGGUGUCAAUUUUGUCAUUGGAAUAAGUAUGAGUUGUAGUAGUGAUGCCUGCAUUACUCUUUGAGGAAGGUAAAGGUAUGUCUCUGAAGUACAACAUAGCUCUAUGGCAAAUUCAUAUUCAUGACAAGAAUCAAGAUAAUGAUCACACUAUGAAGGAAGACUAGCCAAGCUGAAAAGCACACCUGCAUGCUCUGUGGGGAAGAAAAACAUCAACAAAAAAGCCCUCUCCUUAAAAACAAAAGCAUGAGGAUUGCAUUUGCAAAAAACAUCAUCUCAGCAAAGGGCUGGAGUUACUGUUUGUCUUUGAAAUAAAACAUCCAGACAGACAAUAGGAGCAGGGUACAUAGAGUGACAGUAGAAGUGGUAGCGUCUUGCGCCCACAGAAAUACUCAUCCUGCUGUAUGUAGCCGAUGAAGUUCAAGGGAAAUACCCUUAAAAAUAUGUGAGCCCAAGACAAAGAGCUGCAUGACACCCCAGUAGUGGUAUGUCCACAUGCUCAUGGUUCACACCUGGAUUGAUGCUCUCAGAUCCUGGUAACAGCACAGUUUGUACCUCCUCCCUAUUUCAAUCACUAGGAGAGUAUCACGUAGACAUCCCAUCUACCUUAGUACAAUGAGCAGACAAUAAGAGUGAUUGAAGAGAAAAUAAACUAACGUAUGAUACAGAUUCUCUCUUUCAACUUUUCUGUAGUCUGAAACUUUAUCAGUUCCUCAUGGACGUUUUUCCCCCCUCCAUUUCAGCUAUUUUCCAAGGCUAGCGGGAGAGUCAGCACCAAGAAACUAAUGGAAGAACCAAUCAAACCGUGUGCCCAAGCGCUAAUUCCUGUUAAGAGAUGAUGCCAAAGAAAACUUGCUGUGACUCACACAGUUCAAACAUUCCUGUCUCACACAGAUGAUUUAGAGUAGAGCUAACUUCCAAGAACUAUUUAUUUUAUUCCUGUACUUUGUUUUCUUUGUAGUAGUUUUUUUGUUAGACCCAUUGUAAAAACAGGCAUCUUGUACUUCCACAACUCUGCCUUUUGCCUUCAGGGAGAUGUAGCAGCUGCUAAAGAAGAGGCCUUAGUUGAAUUACUAAUUUAAUAUUAUAAAUAUAUUUAUCUAAGCAUAUUAAAUAAAAAAGUAUUAAAUGUUAGAGAUCAGCACAAAAUUCUUUUUGGUGCUUUGCAAUUAUUUCUAGCCAUCGUAGCGUUUGAUUUUUUCAGAAUUCUGUUUCUCUGCACCUACCACGUGACAACGACUGCUGCUUCAUGAGCUCAGAGAAUUAGUUAUUUGGCAAAGCUUCAUUAAGUUUCUAUGUGAGGGAAAGUGACUAUAAAUUGGUGCCAUGAGUGAAGGGCCCUCUGUUUUCUGGAAAGGAUAAAGCCCACAAUUUGAUCUCAAUCCUGUAUUUCAUCCUCCACAACAGUUGUAAUAUGUCCCAUUAAUGAAGGAGAAAAAGCUUGGGAUUAAUAACUUCAGUUAUAUCAAGGUGAAGUAAACAUGGUAGAGUUUCAUGGGUAGGGUUGUCCCUUAAAAAGAGAAAAAGAAAAAAGCCUCAGCCAUUUUACUGGACUCUGUCCAAUUCUUACAUUAACAUUUUAAAGCAGAAACUGAACAUGUGGAAAAUGUUUAGGUUACCCUCCUGAGUUAAACAGGACAGCUUUAGAGUUAUCUAAACAAAAUCAUGAGCAGCACUAGACACUUCUUUUAACAUCUUGGGAUAACUUAGGUAUGGGACAACUGAUCAAGGAAAAGAGUCUGAAAUCUCUUACUGGCCUCAGAAAGCAGCCAUCCUGCUUUUUCUCUGUAAUCCUUAGGUAAAAAAGGUUCCCAAUAGGUUGUCCAACUGCAUAGCGUAAGUUACCCCUUCAUUCUCAGCCAUAAAGACAGCUUAAAUUACCCAAGCAAAAUUUAACUGCAUCUGUAAUACAAAAAAGAAUGAGAGAUUGUAAUUCAGGGAACCCUCAUUUUAUCAUAAAAAGCAGACACUCAGACUAGCAAAUAAGAAGAAACUGCUUGGAAGCAGUUUUGCAAUUGGAGCUAGUGCUCCUUCAACCAUCUGUUACAACCACUCCAGCUCUUUUGAGAACAAGGUUAGGUUUGCACAUAAAGCAAAGGUUGCUAGGUUUCCUUUAAAACAACGAAUAAUAACAUGUUCUCUCUACAAUUACUGUACUUCCUGAGAACAGCAUUAAUUUUCAGAGAAUUUGAAAAGUAAAUCUGUUAAUAAGCUUAGGAAUUAAUAUUAAACACAAGUUCUUUCAGAAAUUUAGCAAAACCCACAAGACUUAUAUUUUUUCCUUUUUAAUUCUUGCAGUCUUUGUGUUAGAGUACUAUUAUCCGUUCAAACUACCCACAUCAGACUGUGGUUUUGCUUUUGCUUUAUGUCCAAAUACUGUGUUUUAAACAAGAAUUCUUAUUUUUGCUAAAAGUAUCUCUCUUAGAAGAUGCCAAAGAGUAGAAGCCUCCUACCAAGAACACUAGGAAGAAUAGCAUCAGUUCAAUGUAAUUUGACUUCUCCCAGUCUUAGUGGGAAGAAAAUCACUCCAAAACCUUUGCUCAGUAAAUAGCCAGUUUGAGAGUAUCUCUUUGAUUGACCUCCCUUCCGCAACUGUGCAUUUACAUAUCUUGUUGGCUUAGGCUCACAUGACAGUUAUAGCCAUUACAUUUUAAGGCUAGAAGGGCAUAAUUUGACAGCAGAGCUGGACAGACCCUCCAACUCUAACUCACCAGGUCAAGUUAAGGGUGAGUUUCCUGGAUUUAUUACACUAGUAUCCAAAACUUGAACAGCAAAAAAAAAAAAAAAAAAAAAGCAGUACAACUAAGCAUAUUGAUAUACACUAAUACCCCUAUCUAAAGAUGAAUGAUUUUUGAAGCCUUCUAGUAACUUACAAACUGGUGCCCUCACUGGUAACUUUUUAAAUUGAUUUGCCUGCAGUAUCAUAAUCCAGUUUCUGCAAGGGACAUGCAUUUUUUAACUCCCUUUAAAUUCAUUAAAAAUACUAUGAAUUAAAAUUAUAUAUGUGUCAAACCAACAACUGCAGAACACCUGAGAAAACUGCAGUCUGCAUCAUGUUAUAUACAAGUACAUGCAAGCUAGCUUAUUAGCUAGAAUCACCAGCAUGGGAUAGCACCUGUGUCAGUCACACUUCCCUCCUCUGUCUGGAGCAGAGCAGCAAUAAGAGACAACAGAGAUAUAAAACCUACAAAGCAGACUCAAGGGUUCUUUUCUUAGGCAUUUUAAAUUAAUGUGAAAUGCAACACCAGAACACGGAAUCACGGCAGACUCUCCCAAGGGCUAUGACUGUCAAAGUAUGAAAAUGGAUCGGCUGAUUUUUAUAUUUGCUAACUUCUCCUCUGAGUCCUUACCAGCAGCUAAGAACAGUGGUUUAACACUUCAGACAAGAAAUUGUCACUUAGAUGCAGGUGACAUUUCCCCCCUCCUUAUGCAUUAUUUUUUUUUUUCCUGUGACUGUGUCCCUCUUAUGUCCCAGUGAGGGCCUCUUAUACUGGACACAAAAACACUGCUAGAGUUUGAAGAGAUCGAAGUGCUCAAUGUUAGUUCUCUACUAAUUUAGAAAGCAGACUUCACAAUAGCUUCUCACAACUCUGUCAUCCUCAUGCCUUCAUCCUGAGCUGGGAAGCACCUAUCCAGAUGAGAACAACAGCCUGUGAUCUUUGUCAGGAAAAUGCCAGCAGCAGCACCUUUUGUGGCAGACAACUUCAGGAAGAGAACAGACCAAGACUAGCCAAAUUCCAUUGCACGGGUCUCUGGAUAGCUUAGGUAGCAUGAGGCUGUGUUAAAAGUCCCUAUAAUUUACUUACAUCUUCUUUCUUUGGCUGUGACAGCCCAGGUGUUAAAACCACAAUCUAAUCCCAUUACCUUCUUGUGCUUUAGUUUCUCCUUUAUUAAGCAGAUGUUGACCUUUCUUUAUUAUGCACUUUGAGACAUACAAAUGAAAAGCUGUAUGUAAGAGCUGAUUAUUGUUUUAGCUACUAAUAAUAACCCUUGAGCUCUCUAAGUCUCUCAGGUAAAAUAAUUCUGUAUAACUAAGCAAAUCUUUCAAAUCCUUCCAAAUCUCCACCUGAACUUUACAAUCUAGAUGGUGAAGGCAGUGGAGGAAAGAGGCAAUAGAAAAUUUCCUAUUCACUUUAAACAAAAACGAAAAAAUGCAUGAAAUGCUUCACCCUGGCAGCAGGGAUCUGUCAUGUGACACAACUCCCCCAGAACAGUUUUGCCUUUUCCUUCCAAAUAAUUCAACUUGCAUUAAAGGUUUAGUUCUGAGACCUUCAGUUCAUCUCAAUAGUUUGUAGCAAGGAGACAAAUAGUGCUCUUUAAAUAAGAACCAAUUUCCUCCUCUGAACAUUCCUCUGCAUUUGGAUAUUGGGUCUUUCCCAUGGAUCUAAAUGAUUUCAGCAAAGGCUUUAUCCUCCCAGUGAGUGAAACCACAGUGAUUUUAUCUGUAUUGUCAGAAUUUGCAAGUCUUCUCCCCUCGCUUGCUUUUCACACCUUUUAUUUAUUUAUAUUUUUUUUAAACACCACGGAAAGCAAUUGGCCCUGUACUCAGAGAUGGAACCUCUGCAGGGGGAACAAGCUUCUAAAGCACGCUUCAAAA